GACGAACGCUGGCGGCGUGCUUAACACAUGCAAGUCGAACGGAAAGGCCCUGCUUUUGUGGGGUGCUCGAGUGGCGAACGGGUGAGUAACACGUGAGUAACCUGCCCUUGACUUUGGGAUAACUUCAGGAAACUGGGGCUAAUACCGGAUAGGAGCUCCUGCUGCAUGGUGGGGGUUGGAAAGUUUCGGCGGUUGGGGAUGGACUCGCGGCUUAUCAGCUUGUUUGUGAGGUAGUGGCUUACCAAGGCUUUGACGGGUAGCCGGCCUGAGAGGGUGACCGGCCACAUUGGGACUGAGAUACGGCCCAGACUCCUACGGGAGGCAGCAGUGGAGAAUAUUGCACAAUGGGCGGAAGCCUGAUGCAGCAACGCCGCGUGCGGGAUGACGGCCUUCGGGUUGUAAACCGCUUUGGCCUGUGACGAAGCGUGAGUGACGGUAAUGGGUAAAGAAGCACCGGCUAACUACGUG
rnacentral:rRNA from 1 species